AAUCAACGCUGGCGGCGUGCCUAACACAUGCAAGUCGAACGCGAAAGCCCCGCAAGGGGUUAGUAGAGUGGCAAACGGGUGAGUAACACGUGGGUGACCUGCCCUCGAGUGGGGGAUAACGUCCCGAAAGGGACGCUAAUACCGCAUAAUAUGCCGCCUUUUAAGAGGUGGACAUCAAAGCUGGGGAUCGCAAGACCUAGCGCUUGAAGAGGGGCCCGCGCCUGAUUAGCUAGUGGUGGGGUAAUGGCUCACCAAGGCAACGAUCAGUAUCCGGCCUGAGAGGGCGGACGGACACACUGGGACUGGGACACGGCCCAGACUCCUACGGGAGGCAGCAGUGGGGAAUUGUUCGCAAUGGGCGCAAGCCUGACGACGCAACGCCGCGUGGAGGA
rnacentral:rRNA from 1 species